AACCAUUGGAAACGAUGGCUAAUACCGCAUAAUGUCUACGGACCANAGAGGGGGACCUUCGGGCCUCUCGCUUCAGGAUAUGCCCAGGUGGGAUUAGCUAGUUGGUGAGGUAAUGGCUCACCAAGGCGACGAUCCCUANCUGGUCNGANAGGAUGAUCAGCCACACUGGAACUGANACACGGUCCAGACUCCUACGGGAGGCAGCAGUGGGGAAUAUUGCACAAUGGGCGCAAGCCUGAUGCAGCCAUGCCGCGUGUAUGAAGAAGGCCUUCGGGUUGUAAAGUACUUUCAGUCGUGAGGAAGGCNNUNNNGUUAAUAGNUGNGUNGNUUGANGUUAGCGACAGAAGAAGCACCGGCUAACUCCGUGCCAGCAGCCGCGGUAAUACGGAGGGUGCGAGCGUUAAUCGGAAUUACUGGGGCGUAAAGCGCAUGCAGGUGGUUUUGNUUAAGUCNNNAUGUGAAAGCCCCGGGGGCUC
rnacentral:rRNA from 1 species